rnacentral:rRNA from 1 species
UACGUAGGGUGCAAGCGUUGUCCGGAAUUAUUGGGCGUAAAGAGCUCGUAGGCGGUUUGUUGCGUCGGCUGUGAAAUCCCGAGGCUCAACCUCGGGUCUGCAGUCGAUACGAGCAAACUAGAGUGUUGCAGGGGAGACUGGAAUUCCUGGUGUAGCGGUGAAAUGCGCAGAUAUCAGGAGGAACACCGGUGGCGAAGGCGGUUCUCUGGGCAUGUCCUGACGCUGAGGAGCGAAAGUGUGGGGAGCGAAUAGG